AUUGAACGCUGGCGGAAUGCUUUACACAUGCAAGUCGAACGGUAGAGGGGGGCAACCUCUCGAGAGUGGCGAACGGGUGAGUAAUAUAUCGGGAACGUGCCCAGUCGUGGGGAUAACGUAGACGAAAGUUACGCUAAUACCGCAUACGAUCUACGGAUGAAAGGCGGGGGACUCGCAAGAGCCUCGCGCGAUUGGAGCGGCCGAUGUCAGAUUAGCUAGUUGGUGGGGUAAAGGCUCACCAAGCCAACGAUCUGUAGCUGGUCUGAGAGGACGACCAGCCACACGGUGGAACUGAGACACGGUCCAGACUCCGUACGGGAGGCAGCAGGUGGGGUAAUUUGGACAAUGGACGAAAGUCUGAUCCAGCCAUUCCGCGUGCAGGAUGAAGGCCCUCGGGUUGUAAACUGCUUUUGUACGGAACGAAAAGGUUUCUAUUAAUACUAGGAGCUCAUGACGGUACCGUAAGAAUAAGCACCGGCUAACUACGUG
rnacentral:rRNA from 1 species